GUAAAAGUGAACAUGAAGUUGUAUACUCUUAUAUUCUCUCGAAAUUUAGAAGCUCUCCCUCCGCCAUCAUUAUCCAACAAACUGACUAAAAAAGCAGAGGUUUGUUCCAAUAAAGGUAGAUCAACUCUCUCUUCACGACAAUAUAAACUAAAUACAGAUCUAGAUGUACCACGCUUCCUGCGCAAACGUUCUACAUACCAAAACAAAGCUCCACAAUAUUGACAUUGAUGCUCAAGAAGACUAAUAUCCAAUGGUUUGGUAAGAGGCCCUACAUCAUUUUUUAAAAAAAAUUAAGCUGAAGCCUUACUAUAACUUUAAAAAUAUCAAAAAGUAGCCUCCACAAGAUCAGAUCAUAGC
rnacentral:lncRNA from 1 species